GACGAACGCUGGCGGCGUGCCUAAUACAUGCAAGUAGAACGCUGAAGAGAGGAGCUUGCUCUUCUUGGAUGAGUUGCGCACGGGUGAGUAACGCGUUGGUAACCUGCCUUGUAGCGGGGGAUAACUAUUGGAAACGAUAGCUAAUACCGCAUAACAAUGGAUGACACAUGUCAUUUAUUUGAAAGGGGCAAUUGCUCCACUACUAGAUGGACCUGCGUUGUAUUAGCUAGUAGGUGAGGUAAUGGCUCACCUAGGCGACGAUACAUAGCCGACCUGAGAGGGUGAUCGGCCACACUGGGACUGAGACACGGCCCAGACUCCUACGGGAGGCAGCAGUAGGGAAUCUUCGGCAAUGGGGGCAACCCUGACCGAGCAACGCCGCGUGAGUGAAGAAGGUUGUCGGAUCGUAAAGCUCUGUUGUAAGUCAAGAACGGGUGUGAGAGUGGAAAGUUCACACUGUGACGGUAGCUUACCAGAAAGGGACGGCUAACUACGUG
rnacentral:rRNA from 1 species